UUGUUUCUUUUUUUUGAUUUUUUUUGAUUUUUUUUUCUUUUUUUUUUUCUUUUUUUGUUUUCGUUGAUAUUUUUUGUUGGUUUUUUCCCGCUUCAAAUUUCAAAAACAGCAACUUUUGUUUUUUUUUGUUUUUUGAGUGGUUCUGUAAUACGAGAACUUUAUACACCAAAAAAAAAAAAAAUU
rnacentral:ribozyme from 1 species